rnacentral:rRNA from 1 species
AGCUGAGCUGGCAGCUGAUUCUUUGGCUGCAUGUGCUCGUUUNCUNACCAAAUCUUUAUUUAAACACCUGUGCACCCUUUUUGUAAAGGAAGGGGGGUCCCUUGCAGAAUGGAUUCACUGUCUUUCGCGAAUUCAGCGGAUCUUUGUGUGGGGGUUCCCUUUCUACACACACACAACACACUCCUUUAAUAUUAUUGAAUGUGGUUGUACCGAAAGGUUCAUGAAAUAGGAUUAACAACUUUUAACAACGGAUCUCUUGGCUCUCGCAUCGAUGAAGAACGCAGCGAAAUGCGAUAAGUAAUGUGAAUUGCAGAAUUCAGUGAAUCAUCGAAUUUUUGAACGCAUCUUGCGCUCCCUGGUAUUCCGAGGAGCACGCCUGUUCGAGUGUCGUGAAAUUUUCAGACUGUUGAAGCUUUUUUUUGACUUUUGGUCAAAGAGGGUUUAUCUCAGUUUGGUGUUGGGCUCUGCCGUGCUUCUGAUCGGGACGGCUGGCCUUAAAAGCAUUAGCUGGCCCUUGUGAAUGUGUUGGUUCUACUCAGUGUGAUAAUUACUUCUGAUCGCUGAGGACAUCUUGCGAGAUGGCCAAUUCUCAUUUGGGCUGCUUGUAAUCCGGUUGAUAGAUUCCUGAAUCUGUCCCACUCUAA